rnacentral:ncRNA from 1 species
CAUCAAGAGAGAUUGAGGGACUGGCCCGUUGAAAUCUCAGCAACCUGCUUAUUAAAAAGUGUGGUGCUAACUCCUGAUAGAUGGAAUGGAUUAUAGAAUAA